rnacentral:rRNA from 1 species
UACGGGGGGAGCAAGCGUUGUUCGGAUUUACUGGGCGUAAAGGGCGCGUAGGCGGCGCAACAAGUCACUUGUGAAAUCUCCGGGCUUAACCCGGAGCGGCCAAGUGAUACUGUCGUGCUAGAGUGCGGAAGGGGCUACUGGAAUUCUCGGUGUAGCGGUGAAAUGCGUAGAUAUCGAGAGGAACACCUGCGGCGAAGGCGGGUCUCUGGACAGUUCCUGACGCUGAGGCACGAAGGCCAGGGGAGCAAACGGG